GACGAACGCUGGCGGCGUGCCUAAUACAUGCAAGUAGAACGCUGAAGCUUGGUGCUUGCACCGAGCGGAUGAGUUGCGAACGGGUGAGUAACGCGUAGGUAACCUGCCUGGUAGCGGGGGAUAACUAUUGGAAACGAUAGCUAAUACCGCAUAACAGUAGAUAUCGCAUGAUAUGUGCUUGAAAGGUGCAAUUGCAUCACUACCAGAUGGACCUGCGUUGUAUUAGCUAGUUGGUGAGGUAACGGCUCACCAAGGCAACGAUACAUAGCCGACCUGAGAGGGUGAUCGGCCACACUGGGACUGAGACACGGCCCAGACUCCUACGGGAGGCAGCAGUAGGGAAUCUUCGGCAAUGGACGGAAGUCUGACCGAGCAACGCCGCGUGAGUGAAGAAGGUUUUCGGAUCGUAAAGCUCUGUUGUAAGAGAAGAACGAGUGUGAGAGUGGAAAGUUCACACU
rnacentral:rRNA from 1 species